GUUAAUGAUUCCCCUUUUAAUUAGGAUUGGGCUGGAUUUUUGAUAGACCCAUUUAGAGAUCCAUGGUUUCGUUUUUGUUUUUUAAUACAGAAUCAAAUGUUUUUUUUUUCUUUUGGACAGAAGUGAUUAUAUCACGAUUCUUUGUCUUAUGGUCUUCAAAGAAUGAAUCCCUAAAAAUCAUAAGCUUUUCCGAUUUCUCAAUCAAUGUCAAAAGUUUCGAUCAUCAAUCGAGUCUCCGUACAUCUAAUUUCCAUAUCAGAUUCGGAAAUUCUUCAAAGAGAGAUCUUGGGCUAUCACUGUGGGUAUACGAACUUGCAUGAAUAAUGAUUGGAUGAUGAUUUUGUCUGAGGAAGACGAUUUACAAAGUUAAGCUUUCUAUUACAGCUCUUACAUAACAAAACAAUGUCUUAAUAUAUAUGGUUCUGAUUUUACCAAAUACAAUGUUUACAGAGAAGGCAAAAUAUUCGAGUUGAUUUCAAUCGGAGAAGACAAAUUUGAUGUCCUUUAGUAGCCAUAACGGAAUCUGGAAGCUAUUUUAAAGACCAGGCAACAUCUUUAAAGAAGGCAAAUUUGAAAGCAAUGAUAAAGCCAGUCCAGAUUCUGAAAGCACUGAUAAAGCAAAAGCAACUGCUAUUGGAAGUUGUCUUCGACGCAUUUUAAACGGAAGUUUAGUAUCAGAUGGAGAUAUCAAUAUCCUGGGAAGGAGGACUUUAUCUCCGACUCUAUCACCUGUAAUAAUGACAGCCUCAAUGACUUUAUCACCCAUUUGUGUUAUUUGCAGUCUAGUGCCAUUCAUUAGCCCUCCUCUUGGAUCUAAAUUUCGUAGUAACAUCACAGGACAACCAACUUUCAACCUUAUACCAUGAUUUGGCAAUCCAGAUAUCUUUAGACCGUUCAAAAACUCUGAUGUCAACACGGGAUUAUUUGUACCUCCAAUAUCAGAAGGAUCAACAGAAUCUGAACUUAGGUAUA